ACCAGAUACAGACAGAGCAUCUGGGAGACUCAGAAAGGACAGGACCAUGAGUCUCAUCUUUGGGGUUUGGGUUUUCUUUUGUUUUAUUAAAAAAAAAAAAAAGAUUUUUUGUUGAAUGCUCAGCUGGCUGAGCCCCUAUUUUUGUCUCAUUUAAAAUAAUAUUUUUUAAAUGUUUACUUAUUUCCGAGAGUGGAAGAGAGACAAAGCACGAUUGGGGAAGGGGUAGAGAGAGAGGGAGACACAGAAUCCGAAGCAGGCUCCAGUCUCUGCACUGACAGCAGAGAGCCUGAUACGGGGCUCAAACUCAUGAACCGUGAGAUCGUGACCCAAGCUGAAGUCAGAUGCUUAACCGACUGAGCCACCUGGGCGCCCUGUUUUAUUUUUAAGUAAACUCUACACCCAACGUGGGGCUCAAACUCACAACCCCAAGAUCAAGAGUCACAUGCUCUAGCGACUGAGCCAACCAGGUGCCCCUGGGUCUGGGGUUUCACUGAGGAUGGUGGUCUGGUGUAGGUAUCCUCUCCAGCAUCCAAGAACUGGUCAGAACAAACACCAGGGCAUAGGGGUUAUUCCUGAGAGCCAGGAGGUCUUGGCCUGGAGGUCUGACUUGGGAGGUAUGGCUUGGAGGUCUUGGCAUGGAGGUCUUGGCAUGGAGGUCUUGGCAUGGAGGUCUGGCUUGGUGGUCUGGCUUGGAGGUAUGGCUUGGAGGUCUUGGCUUGGAGGUCUUGGGAUGGAGAUCUUGGCAUGGAGAUCUGGCUUGGUGGUCUGGUUUGGUGGUCUUGGCAUGGAGAUCUUGGCAUGGAGGUCUGGCUUGGUGGUCUGGCUUGGAGGUCUUGGCAUGGAGGUCUUGGCUUGGAGGUCUUGGCAUGGAGGUCUUGGGAUGGAGGUCUUGGCUUGGAGGUCUGGCUUGGUGGUCUGACAUUGAUGUCUGGAAUAUACAUAUAAUGACUUCGUCAGGUCAUUUUCACCCAGUCCUUCCUUAGACAUUCUUUGUUCUAGAGAAAUCAUCAACUCCUUGUCCCUUACAAGGAGGAUGUACACUGUGUGCAUUCUGAGGCAUGUGUAGAGUGGGGUGCGGGCCCUACCAAGAACAGAAGUAGCGGGGCGCCUGGGUGGCUCCAUCGGUUAGAGGCCUGACUUCAACGGGGGUCAUGAUCUCAAGGUUCUGGAGGUUCCAGUCCCACCUUAAGCUCUGUGCUGACAGCUUAGGAUUCUGUGUCUCCCCUCUCUCUGCUCCCUCCCUAUUCGUGCUCUCUCUCUCUCUAUGUCUCUCAAAAAUAAAUAAACGUUAAGAGAAAAAAAAGAAGGGAAGCAGGAAAAGGAGCAAAAAGCAGAUUUGUAUGGAGUCCUUCAGCUUCCCCGUCUCAGCCUGGGGGGACCUUCUCCCACUCCUCCCCAGACACAGGCCGGCCCUGGAAUCGCAGGACCUUGUUUGUUCCCGUUUUGCCAAGAUCGCGGUCCUGCGCCGCUGGGUGCCCAACCUACAGACAGUUGUUUCACAUGUUUUGUCCAGUUUUCCAGCUGUUUCCCGGGGGAGGGCGCGUCCAGUGCUGGUGACUCG
rnacentral:lncRNA from 1 species